AGGUUGAAGCUGAAAUCUAUAAUGAAAUUGUUAUUGGCAGUAUUGUUUGUCUUUGAUUUAUUAACUGUUUCGUAUUGUCAAUGUGGUCCAUGUUUUCCUGCCCAUUUGCAAGACAUGUUUUGUUCAGCUGGACAUGGUAAAGAACAUUGUUUAAACGUUUUCAAUUGUUGUCGUUUGACUUUAAAAAUUGUAAAAAUAUACCUAGAUCUGAUAUGGAAUUGUUUAUAUUUAUAUUUCAAGAUAAAAAAUUGAGACGAUGAAGUCCUUCAACAUUAUCAAUGUUUGUCAUCCAUGUUGUCAGUGAAACGUCAUUUACAAUGCAUUAUUGGGAUAAAUAACUUAAACGGCCAUUUAAUCAAUACAUGUAAUAUGUGUAAUACCAAGUCAGAGAUAUAUAUAAGCAAUAGUCUUACCACAACAAACAUCUGUAUAACGUCAACAUAAUUGUUUAAAUCUUCUGGUGGAUGCCGUGGUUGUUCUGUUACUCAUAAAAUAAUUUUAAUGUCAUGAUUUCGAAAUACGACACCUUUUUUGCAAAUAAUCAUUAAACGCAGAGUUGUUGAAAGCCUACGCUGUAUACUUGUAUGUAAUAUAUGCAUUCAAACAUAAUUAUGCAUUUUGUGAUACCAUAUAGCUAAACACAAACAGAGCUCUUAUAUCAGUUUUCGUCUAAAUAUCUUUCAAAGAUAGGUAUCAGACAUGGACCUCCAAACCCACAACGAGUUCAAUAAGACUGUGUUAAAUAAGCUUAUUGAUAUAAAAAUAAACAUAACUCUGUUUUAGACAGAGAGUAUUAUGUAGAUUCAUGUAUGCAUGUCACAUUUGUUCCGGAAUUAACUGAUACAGAAAUAAACCCUGAAUACAAACAAACUGGAAUCCGUCAAUGAUACUUGUGGCUUUAUAUCGAUGAAAAUUAAAACAAUAACAUGAUGCUGACUAGUUAUAUUAUUUAAUCAAUCGUAAUUAAAUGGCAAAAUAUGUCUGAGUUAUCUAUAAAUUCUACUAGAGGACAUCCUUGGAAAUUAAUGAAAAAGAGGUGUAAUUCAACUCCACGUCUUCAUUCGUUUUCACAAAGGAUCAUUGAUCAAUGGAAUAGUCUUUCAACAGAAACAGUUUGUGCAGAAUCUGUCAAUAUUUAAAAAAAUCGUAUUAAUGAUGAACAUUGGAAUGGGAAGAAGUUUAAUCCUACAUGACAUUAGAUGACAUAAAAUAAAUGCAGCAGUAUUUAAAUGUGACAAGUAUUAAAAAUAUUGUGGAGAACCAUCGUACAACAUAUAUACCAGUACAGGACAAUUAAAAUAUUCGUUCUGUUAUGCGCACAGCUCAUAGUUAAAUCAUAAGUAUUUUAAUAUAAUUAAUAUAAAGUUAAUUACGAGGCGGCAAAAGAAGUUAUCAACUUAAUGAUCGCCACAAUAAUCCAGGAAGAAUCCAGGUAGGAAGGUAACUUGCUAUUUUAUUUUGUUCAAGUAUGAUAUGGUCACAGUUCAUACGCAUACUUUAUAAAACCAAAUUAUUUUUUUUUUAAUUUUACAGUAAACUUUGCACUUCCAAUAAAUGUGACGUCAAAAACAGUAAAAGGCGGGACAGAUAAGUUCUAUCGUUCAUUGGUGGUACAAGUUCUGAAGGUAUGUACUAUUCAGAAGUAAUAAUAUGUGGCAUUGCCUGUUUUACGUAAGCAGCCUGCAAAGUGCAUGCUGGUGAAAUACGCUUUCAUUUGUUUAACAGUAUAACAGAAUAAUGAAAAGUAAUUCAGCACAAUGUCCACUCUUUACCAGUUUAUGUUUUAGUAAAGGGGUCUUUUAAAAAUACCUUUAAAGUAAUUAGAAUUAGUGUAUGUCUGAAAUUCCUUAAUGAAAAACGACAAAUGAACGAUCAAACGCAAUUAUUUGAAGCCUUCAUAACGAACAAUCAAAUCCAAAUAUAAGAAGGCAAUGUUUCCAGAGUUCUUACUUAUAGCUAAAUAUAUUAAAAUAACAAUGUCAAAUCAUUGGCAAAAUGCUGACUACUGGUAUUCUGUAGCCUCUGGAAGUAAAACACUAACUACAGCGGUAUUACACAGCUUCUAUUUUUUUUUUAUAACAUGCAUUUGAAUUUUUUCAAAUAUUGUUUUUACACGUCAUUACAUACCACCUUUAAUUUGCAGCAAGGCGUACCUCCUCUGAGAAAUGGGGGCAUCGUUACUUUAAAGUCAAGUGCUCGUAAUGGGGCAGGUUGUAAAAAAUUUACCAUGAGAUUAUUCGGAGGUUAUAUUAUCGGGG
rnacentral:lncRNA from 1 species